rnacentral:rRNA from 1 species
UACGUAGGGUGCAAGCGUUGUCCGGAAUUAUUGGGCGUAAAGAGCUCGUAGGCGGUCUGUCGCGUCGGAUGUGAAAAUCCAGGGCUCAACCCUGGACCUGCAUUCGAUACGGGCAGACUAGAGUUCGGUGAGGGAAUGGUGGAAUACCUGGUGGAGCGGUGAAAUGCGCAGAUAUCAGGUGGAACACCCGUAGCGAAGGCGGCAUUCUGGGCCGAUACUGACGCUGAGGAGCGAAAGCGUGGGGAGCGAACAGG